rnacentral:rRNA from 1 species
AGUUAAAACUUUCAACAACGGAUCUCUUGGUUCUGGCAUCGAUGAAGAACGCAGCGAAAUGCGAUAAGUAAUGUGAAUUGCAGAAUUCAGUGAAUCAUCGAAUCUUUGAACGCACAUUGCGCCCGGCAGUAAUCUGCCGGGCAUGCCUGUCCGAGC